GGCAGGUAGCGUACUGGUAAGGUCGGGCGUGUACCAAGCACCGAUGCAUAGCCGGACCUGAGAGAUGGAUCGGCCACACUGACGUGGAGACACGGUCCAGACUCCGGGACGGGAGGCAGCAGUAGGGAAUGCUUGCCGCAAUGGGCGAAGCCUAGCGGAGCUACGGCCGGCUGAGGUGAUGAAGGUGCUUCGGAUCGUGAUACUCUGUUAUUAGGGAAGAACAUAUGUGUAAGUAACUGUGCACAUCGUUGACGGUGACCUGAAUGCAGAAAGGCCACGGCUGAACUAGCGUGCCAGCAGCCGCGGUAAUAGCGUAGGUGGCAAGCGUUAUCCGGAAUUAUUGGGCGUAAAGCGCGCGUAGGCGGUGUGUUUUAAGUCUGAUGUGAAAGCCCACGGCUCAACCGUGGAGGGUCAUUGGAAACUGGAAAACUUGAGUGCAGAAGAGGAAAGUGGAAUUCCAUGUGUAGCUGGUGAAAUGCGCAGAGAUAUGGAGGAACACCAGUGGCGAAGGCGACUUUCUGGUCUGUAAGCUGACCUGAUGUGCGAAGCGUGGGGAGUCAAACAGGAUUAGAUACCCUGGUAGUCCACGCCGUAACGAUGAGUGCCUAAGUGUUAGGGGGUUUCCGC
rnacentral:rRNA from 1 species